rnacentral:hammerhead_ribozyme from 11 species
CCAACGUCUAGGGCAGGGUUUGUCAGUCGUAGCCCUACUGAUGAGUCUGGCUGACAAUCCCGAGACGAAACGUGUU